GCAGCUCUCAGUUGUUACAGUUAAACCAGCCCCCCAGGGAGGAUUAGUCUUAGUUGACAAACACAGUAGCAGUGAAAUACAGUAAAGCAACAACUGGUAUGUUAAGAUAGGUUGACAUACUAAGAUUAGAUUUUGCAUGUAAUUUGAUCAGUUUGUGUUGUAAUUGAAAAUGAGCACCUGCAACUGUAAGUUUAAAAAGACGUUUUUCUAGGAAGUGCGCUGUCAAGCUGAUUUACUUUCAGUGGACGAAUAUUAUUCAUUUCUAACUACAUUUUCGAUUCAUUAGGCACAUAGAAACGAAAUUAAAACAGCACCGUUUAUUUCUGUUAUUGCUGAAGAUACGGCUUGUAUUUUGUUAAUAAAAUGACAAGCCCGUCAGUCGAUAAAGAAUUGCAGGAGAGGUUGAGGGAAGCGUCUGCUAUCGGGGAUCUCGAAGAGGUACAAACGCUAGUCCACAGCGGAGUUCAUGUCAACUCACAAAAUGAAAUAAAUGGAUGGACUUGUUUGCAUUGGGCAUGCAAACGAAAUCAUAGACAGAUAGUGUCCUAUCUGUUAAGUGCAGGUGCUGACAAAGACGUUUUUACUUCAAAAGGAGAGACAGCAGCCCAGCUAACUUCAAAACCUGAUAUUAGAAAACUUCUGGGAGUAGAAGAAACUGAAAUAACAGAAACAAAGGAACCAGAGUUGCCAAUCAUUCCAAACUAUCUAGCAAAUCCCCCAUUCCCUUAUGUUAAGACUGAAAUGACUGAUCUGUCAGAACCCCACAGUGGAACGUCUUGCAUAGCAGAAGAAUUCGGGCAUGACAGCCCUUCCCCUGCAGUAUCCCCGGAUCUGAGCACACGCAUACCUGUAGCUGAACAGAAUGGAGUCUCCCUGCAUCCACCAGGAGCCAUGAACGGAACUGCCUCAGAACCUCACCAUGAGUACACACAGCAGCACUUAACGCAGAACGGACCACCUUUACUGGUCCCCAACGGGAAUGCAAGUUCACCAGUCGCACCCACCAGACAACAGUCAAUACCUCAGCAGCUCAACAGCAAUCCGUUGGGGUCCAUGCCAACGUUUCAGCCAUUUUUCUUCACUGGGGCUUUUCCAAUGAAUAUGCAAGAACUGGUGCUGAAAGUUAGAAUCCAAGACUCUGCAGUAAAAGAAAACGACUUCAUUGAAAUUGAACUUGAUCGUCAAGAACUGACCCUUCGAGCAUUACUGCGAGUGUGCUGUCGAGAGCUUGGCGUUAGUGUUGACCACGUGGAGAAGAUACGAAAGUUACCAAACACAAUGUUGCGAAAGGACAAAGAUGUUGCAAGACUACAAGACUUUCAGGAGCUGGAGGUUGUUGUCGAGAAAGUGGAAACCCUGUCUUUGUUAGGUGGACAAGCCUCCCUAACUGAGAGGCCUUGCUAUAAUAGGAAAGCUUCAAAGCUAACAUACUAAACUGCUACUGAUCGAUUUAUGUAAGUUACAUUAUUGUGUGUUUUGGGGCUGUCUGCAAGGCAAACUUCAAUCCUUUUUUAAACCAUGAAGAUUUUUUUUUUUAAUCCUGUGUUAUUGUUUACAUCCUUGUUGGUUAUCUAUUUAUGCUUUCUUAUUACAUUUCCUAAGGAGUGGUAUUGCAUUUUCUCUCAGCUGUUUAUAGCAGUGGAUUACAAUUCCAAGGCCCCCACCCCCCCACCCCCCUAUCACCUGGUGUCAGUGAAAAAUAUAAAAAUGCUACAAAUUAAUUAAUACAAGAGGGGGUAGGAAUUUACAUCACAGUUGUGUGGUAUUUAAAAAGCUACAAGUAGGAUGUAAUGUUUAAAGGGUGUGUUGGAUUACAAAAAAAUAAUUUAUUUGAUUUGACUUUUGGCUGAGGUAUGUGAAACCAGUGAAACCUGUAGUUCCAUGUAAUCAGCUGCCAGACUCAUAUUGGUAUUUGAAUAACUUGUAAACAGUCAGGAGGGUAAUGAUACACUAGUGUCAUGAUACAAUACAUAUAUCACGAAGUGCAGGUCUUGAUAUGUAAUACAAGACGUGAUGGUCUUCUUGGGCUACUUCUGUGAUUUAAUGAUGGAACUAUUUUGUUAAAGAUUAAAUGAGAUGGGUUGAGUUUGUAUUCAUGCGAACUGUCAAACAUUGUGAACUCCAGCCAGCUGUCGUGCUUUUUGGUGUCAAUACAAAAAAUACGUACCUCUAUUGAGAGCAAAUAUAUCAUGUAUAGAAAGUUUCAUGAUUCAUCGAUACACAAUGAAUCGCUACACUCCUAAUAAACAGGUGACAGUACAAACACAUUUAACUUUUGUAAAGUUUAGUUGAAAUCCCUGAAAAGUUUCUGCUACUUCCUUUGAAGCUUUGUAACAUAUUUAACCUUUAAAAAAAAAAAAAAGAUACUGGAAUUGUUUUCUAAAAAGCGCUAACGCAUAUAAAGUUUAAAAAACAAAAAAACAGUUUUGGUUGGAAAAAUAUCCUAAAGAAUGGUAUCUGCCCCUGUACUCCCCUCUUAUUUUGUGUCUGUCUCUGGAUCCAAACAAACAAGAAAGCCCAGUCAUAAAUCAUGUUUAGAGUUUCAAGGUUGUGUUGCUCAAACGCUAAUUCAAUUACCUUAUCCCUUCAUUUGUUAUGUUCAGAAUUAUUUUGCAUGGUUCAGAGUUCGGUGGCUCCAAUACUGAGAUAUUUUAGACUUUGAAAAAGCGCUUUGUUUUUUUUUUUUUAAAGCAAAUAUUCCUCAUAUCGAAAAGAAGGAUCUUUAUUUCAAUACGUGAACAAUGACACAAUGUAUUGGACUUUUAAAGUUCUCAUGUUAAGACUGUAUAGGAUUUCUGCAUGUAUAACAGUUUUAUUUGCUGCAUAUAACUACUGUAAGUGUACUAGAAAGGCAUAAAUACAUAGAUAGACCUUUUGUUUAUCUUUACUUCCCUGCAAAUAGGUGAUUUUAAAUUAUCUAACAUAUUAUAAAAAUAUGCAAGUAAAACAUAUCGUAAUCAUGCACAGCAUUUGUCAGAAGUUGAAAAUAGAAACUUGUUUUUGUCCGUCCUUUUACAUAACAUAUAUCUGUCCUACAUUUUUAAAUGUGAUAAUAUAUAUGAUUUAAACAUGUGAAAGUGUUAGAUGUUAAAUGACAAAGUUGAUCUGUGUUUAAGAGGAAAUUUUCAGUUUUUCUGUUUACAAAUGUUAAAAUCAAGCAGCUCUUUUACACUGUCAAUUGGUCCUUUGUGUCAUUACCCUGUGACCUGUAAUAGGUUGAAAUACCUAAACUAUUACCCAUACAUUGGAGGGAAAACAUUAAGGAACUACUAGAAGAAUUGUCAGUUGAUCGUACUACAUACAGUGUGCUUAGGUGACAUUGCACAUCCAGUAAUAAGCAUGUAUUACUGUGUAGGCUCACGUGUUCAGUUGUUAAAGAAACACAUUGAGCAAACAUUAAAGAAAACAAAAUAUAUUAAUAAAUUAUUUUUACUUGCACUGCCUGGGCCAUUUAACCGCUUCAGUGUCUUUAUCCUCUCUUUAAACAGGCAGCGGCUUCUCCUAAUAACUGACAUGCUUUUACCCAGAAGACACUGCUCAGGUGGAUGACCAGCAUUGAUAGAAGAAUGAAAUCACUGUUCAUAGAAAUUAACCUGGUAUUAUGAUCAUGGAGACAUUAAUGUAUGAUUGCACUUUAACCAACACGCAGAAUGGCUGCAAUUUUAUUUUUAAACAAUCGAAAAUAGGUUGCAAGCCGGUGUGCAAAACUGAUGGGCUGCUUUGAUUCUACAGUGUCAGAGGAAUGUAUUUAAAUAUACUUUGUUCCAUUAGCAAGAAGUAUAAAUUGUUAAUAACAAGCUACUCCAUUCUUCAGAAAAAAGGUUGACGUGUCUAUACGCUUGCUGAACCUUUCUAGUGUCAGCUGUGCAUAUACUGGUGACCCAAACUGUCUCACCAUAAAACUACAACAGUAAACAAUGUAUACUAAUUAUUAUUUAUGUACAAUGAGUAGAACGUUAUUGAUGACUUAACCUAUGCAUUCAGAGACUGAUAUUUUUAUAUGUCUGAAGUAAUUUGAUAAAUUCUUAGGCACUUUUUAACCUGUGUUAAUUAUUUUUCUGUUAAAUACCUGUUCUUUUAAAUAAAGC